rnacentral:misc_RNA from 1 species
CUCUUGGUUUCUACCUCCAGAUUCGUCAUCUUGUUCCGGUACAGUCUCGCGGUAAAAUCCUUUUGCCUUUUGCAUUUAAACUUUUCAUACAACGUUACUCUGCCCAAAAGUCCAGCGAGCUUCAGCUCCAUUGUGUCAUACUAAGUUUAAGAUCUCACACUGUGUAACUCCGUUUUUGUGACUUUUAAAUAUCGAACUUAUAAAAUAAACCAAGUCAGUCAAAAUAUCCAAAUAUUAGAGUCAGUUAUUCCACUAAAGCCUCUCACCAAUCUACGCUGCAAGUCAUCACACCCAGAAUAUUCUCAAAAAGCCUGUGAAAUGUGGAUACUGUAGCUGGCUAAUACAAGGUUGUCCAAAUAUCCUACAACACAAAUGCUUGGAGCAUUAUGACGAGCACGUAGAGUGCCUGAAAGUUGAUGAAAAUAUUGUUACUUUGGUACCAAGACCAGGCGUUACGGAAUCUCCAAGUACCGAAGAGGUCGACGAUGAGAAUGUACUGUGCGACGAGCUUCUCAUUGAAGCUGUUUCCAAAAGAGUCUUUUCAAAUCUGCAACACCUUGGGAGGCAUCACUACAGAUGAUGCGAAAAAAAGAUGGCAAUACUUACGAGAUUGUUAAAUGAAGGAAAAAACGAAGCAGCAGACAUACACACCUAGCGGGUCUGCAGCUGGCACAUUAAAAAAACCGUCAUUCUGACAUUAUGACCUAAUGAAGUUUGUGGGCGACUCGUUACCGAAUACACAGUACGUUUAUUUUCUUAUCAGAAAUAUGAUGGGAGAUAUACACUGCCAGCCAAAAUUUUGGGUACACCAGUUGAAAUUUCUUGUCGCACUGAAAAAUUAGAUAGAGGACUCAAAAAUGAAGAUAAUCGAAUUUUCCAAGCGGCGUUUUAAAGAGGAGAAAUUAACUUUCAUUUUUCUUUUUUUCUAUAAAAUUCUCCAAUUAUUUUUUAUCUCAGUACAUAUUUUUGAAAAUGGCCAUUUUUCAGCUGCCGAAAAUGACACCUACAGCUAAGGGAAACUUUUUCCUCGGUUCUAGCUACACUAAAAUUGAAAAGGAUAUCAAAACCUACAUUUUCGUUUUUUAGAAAGUUUCGUACGAUUUUUUCGCUCCCGUAUUGCAUUUUCAGUUAAAAAAUGCAUGUUUUAGACAAAAAAAGCGUAAUACAAUAACUAUGGAGUUUCACAGGAAAUGUCAAGAGAGUAAAAAGUUGCGUAAGUUCAGACCAGAGUAGUUAGAAUUUUUCAGAUUUUUUGUUUUAUUUUCAUUUUUUUACAAUUUUCUGUCGGGACUGAAGAGUGGAGGGGCUCCAUUUGGGAAUUAUGAGGUCUAGGAUAAUAUACCAAGAAAGAAAAUUUGUUUACGUUUUCAAUCUUAAAAUCUUAACUACAAUUGUUUCAGAAUUUUUUGAAAUCUUAUGUUAAAAUUUUUUUCGGCUGGAACUCGGAGAAUCAUCGUCAAUGAGCUUUUUUCCUGAAGUACGAAGAAUUACUCACUAGCAGCGCUAGUAGUUCGGUAGGGACAAACACUGUCUAACCCCCAUAUAAACACACAGUAAAGUGCACUAAAAAAAAAUGUUUUUAACAGAAGACGACGUUCCUGGAGCAAAACUAAAAUUUGCAACCGUAAAAGACAACAAUGUAGUAACACUAAAACGUUGGCUUGCGUGCCGUAAUUUAAAAGUUACCGGAAAAAAAACGAGUGAAAAAAUAGCGGGAGAUUCAAACUGUAAUAAGAGAAAUUGAAAAUAAUAAUAAAUUUCAGAUUUAUUUCAGAGUGAAAUAUGAAUCAAAUAUAGAUGGUAAUGAAAAAAAAUUAAAUAAAUGAAUAUGAUUUAGUAACAGA